rnacentral:lncRNA from 1 species
GUGCUGCAAACAGAUUAGAUCCACAGAUCGAACAGAGUAGAUUUUAAGCACUUGAAGAAAACAGGCACCAUCAUGAACAGGCUGUGCAAACUUCUUUUUGUGCUACACUGUCUCAGAUGCUCUGCAGCCCACAUGACAACAACUGUGGAACUUGGGGACAACGUCACACUUCACUGCAGCCUGACACACUCGGAUGAAACGGUUUGGGUUGGACAGCGGUGCAACCAAAUUCCCUUCCUAAUAAUUUCAGCCGAAGUGAAAUAUGGAAAAUUGCUGCACAGAUCCGUUACAAGCCAGAGCAAAAGCUUCCUUCCACAGCUGAAUGUAGAAAACAACUCAGUCAGUCUAAUAAUUCUGAACAUCUCGGAGUCUGGUUUGGGACUCUAUUACUGUGUUGCUUGGAGUGAGUCAAUAAAGCAAUUUGGACUCGGAAGCCUGCUUGUUACAGGUGACGUAUUCUUAUGAAAGUUUUAUAUACUUCAGGUCUGAAAAGAUCCAGGUUGAAGUUUUCUUUAUUUACAUUCAGGUCCUUUAAAAGAGAGGUCCGAUAAUGGUCCUGGAUGCCAUGCUCUGCUGGCUGUUGUGUGUCCAGUUUGUGCAGUGGUCACAGUUCUGCUCCUCACAGCCUCUCUCUGUUUCCUCUUUCACCAGAAAGGUAGGUCCAGAGAAACAAAAGCGCAG